rnacentral:lncRNA from 1 species
GGCGGAGGCCGCGCGGGGUGGGGCCCGGCGGGUACGCGCUCGCUGCGUCGACGUGCUGACGCCAUGACGCCCCGGCCGGUGUGUGUCGGUGUGUGUGUGUGUGAGUGUGCGCACUGCGAGUGUGUGUGUAUUUGUGUAUCGGCGGUCUCGCAGGUCCCGGAUGUUGCGGACAGUAUGAGGCGAGCGCAGGGGGACGGGGACCAGCAGCUGUCGCCACCGCUCUCAGUGAUUUCCUGUUAGACAAGACAAAUUAGAGUCUUCCUACUGACUUUGACUUAACUUGAAUGAAGAUAUACUUGAUACUGGAUGAAAAAGUUACUUUUACCAGGGCUGAUAACUUGAGGUGCCAGG